GCUAAUACCGCAUAAGACCACAGUACCGCAUGGUACAGUGAUCAAAGGAUUUAUUUCGCUGAAGGAUGGCUUCGCGUCCGAUUAGGUAGUUGGUGAGGUAACGGCCCACCAAGCCUACGAUCGGUAGCCGGACUGAGAGGUUGAUCGGCCACAUUGGGACUGAGACACGGCCCAGACUCCUACGGGAGGCAGCAUG
rnacentral:rRNA from 1 species